UUAAUAUACAAGCCCGGGCCUGGCGAGCCCGGGCUCUACUAUAGGCUCUGCUUCACAACUCCUACUCAAUACGUCCACGUCGUGCAGAACGGUAACUUGUCGCCUAGAUAUCCAAGCUUGGGUACACGGGGAAACCCACCCCCUUGGGCGGAUGGGCGGCAAGGCUGAAUUGAGAGGU
rnacentral:ribozyme from 1 species